rnacentral:lncRNA from 1 species
GCAGCCUCCUCUGGGCAUCAGCCUCCAGGCGCACCCGGGCCCUGGGUCUGAAGGCCUGCGGUUGCCGCCUUCUUUACCCUAAGCGCGGAUGCGGACACCGGGAUGCCGGGGACCACUGGCCCGCACUGGGCAGGCGGAGGCCGGGGGUCCACGGCGGUCAGGUGCGAGGAUGGCCUAGCAGAGGCCACGACCCCACGGUGGAAGGAGUUCUUUGCCAAGGGGUGGGGAGGGCAGUGGCCUCCGAACGGGAAGGCCAGGCCUCCGACCUUCCGUGCAAGUCCCCCGUGCUGCGGAGGAAGCCUGGAGAGUCCCAUUCCUCUAGCUAAUCCGGAGCCCAAACCAUGCCCCCAGAAAACUCGGCUCCGUUAACGGAACCUGAAAUUGCAGGGAGGGAAGGAGGUGUCCCUAUGAAGCCCCUCCCGCGUCUAGGGCUGGGGUCGGGGCUUGAGGCUAACCCCAGAAGUCGGCAGAGCCUGCAGGAAGCCGCGGCCUCGUCCGAGGCUGGGCAGCUCCUCGUCUCUGGAAAGAGGCCGAGAGACACCGUGCUGGCGUGCUGGCGCUGCGGGUGCCUGGGAACCUCAGCGCCGAAAAAGCACCCUGGUGGAAUGGGGGAGGGAGGAAGGGAGCGAAGAGGGAGGCCAGAAGAGAAAGAACGAGAACUAGGAGGCCGGAAGGAAGGAGUGCCGAAGGCUGCGAGCCUCCCUCGGUGGCAGCCGAGCGGAGAAGCUGAGAGGCCGGAGCCUCAAGCCCCGCGCGCACCGCAGCCUCGCCUGGGGCUGCCGGCGGUUUCGGAGAACGUUCGCUUUGGAGCCCGGCUGCUCCCACUCACUGUCCGGGGACCCCUCUCAGGACCCCUUCCCCCGGUGUUCAUCAGAAAAGCCUAUUCUGGACAACGCGCGGCUAGCGGGAUUUCCAUCCCUAGCCCCCCGAGAGGCGGGAACCGGUCGCCCACGACGCCGUUUCGGGCAGGGCGGCCCCAGCGUUGGCCGCAGCCCGGCCGCGCAGCCCGUUCCGCGCGGGGAAGAGUUUCACACCCGGCCGCGAGUAGCGAGCGGGGCGGGAGGAGCGGCCCGUUUGAAGCGAAGCGCCCGGCUCCAGCAGCGCCGUCUGCAGCGGGGGAUCAGCGCGGCCUGCGUCCUGGGGCCUGGAGCUCCGGAG